CAGUAGCCGCGGGAAUACGUAGGGUGCAAGCGUUAAUCGGAAUUACUGGGCGUAAAGCGUGCGCAGGCGGUUAUGUAAGACAGAUGUGAAAUCCCCGGGCUCAACCUGGGAAUUGCAUUUGUGACUGCAUGGCUAGAGUGUGUCAGAGGGGGGUAGAAUUCCACGUGUAGCAGUGAAAUGCGUAGAUAUGUGGAGGAAUACCGAUGGCAAAGGCAGCCCCCUGGGAUAACACUGACGCUCAUGCACGAAAGCGUGGGGAGCAAACAGGAUUAGAUACCCCUGUAGUCCCUGUCUCUUAUAA
rnacentral:rRNA from 1 species